GACGAACGCUGGCGGCGUGCUUAACACAUGCAAGUCGAACGAUGAAGCUGCAGCGUGCUCCGGUGGCUUAGUGGCGAACGGGCGAGUAACGCGUGAGCAAUCUGCCCUCGAGUCGGGGAUCACUUCGGGACACAGUAGCUAAUACAGGAUACCUUCACGGGAAGGCCUCUUCUGGUGAAGAGAGACUUUCGGUCAAGGAUGGGCUCGCGGCCGAUCAGGUUGUUGGUGAGGUAUCGGCUCACCGAGGCGACGACGGGUAGCCGGGCUGAGAGGGUGACGGGCCACACUGGGACUGAGACACAGCCCAGACUGCUUCGGGAGGCAGCAGUGGGGAAUAUUGCACAAUGGGCGCAAGCCUGAUGCAGCGACGCGGCGUGAGGGAUGAAGGCCUUCGGGUUGUAAGCCUCUUUUAGCAGGGAAGAGGCGAAAGUGACGGUACCUGCAGAAAAAGCACCGGCUAACUACGUGCCAGCAGCCGCAGUAA
rnacentral:rRNA from 1 species